UAGGGGAGGCGUAGCGAAAGCGAGUCUGAUAAGGGCGCUUUAGUUGCAGGGCGUAGACCCGAAACCAGAUGAUCUACCCAUGGCCAGGAUGAAGGUGCCGUAACAGGUACUGGAGGUCCGAACCACUAAUGUUGAAAAAUUAGGGGAUGAGCUGUGGGUAGGGGUGAAAGGCUAAACAAAUCUGGAAAUAGCUGGUUCUCCCCGAAAGCUAUUUAGGUAGCGCCUCAUGUAUCACUCGCGGGGGUAGAGCACUGUAAUGGUUGGAGGGGUCAUUGCGAUCUACUCCGCCAUAGCAAACUCCGAAUACCGCGAAGUGCGAGCAUGGGAGACAGACGGUGGGUGCUAACGUCCAUCGUCAAGAGGGAAACAACCCAGACCGCCAGCUAAGGUCCCCAAGCCAUGGUUAAGUGGAAAACGAAGUGGGAAGGCAUAGACAGUCAGGAAGUUGGCUUAGAAGCAGCCAUCCUUCAAAGAAAGCGUAAUAGCUCACUGAUCGAGUCGUCCUGCGCGGAAGAUGUAACGGGGGG
rnacentral:rRNA from 1 species